AGUGAACGCUGGCGGUAGGCCUAACACAUGCAAGUCGAACGGCAGCACAGUAAGAGCUUGCUCUUACGGGUGGCGAGUGGCGGACGGGUGAGGAAUACAUCGGAAUCUACUUUUUCGUGGGGGAUAACGUAGGGAAACUUACGCUAAUACCGCAUACGACCUACGGGUGAAAGCAGGGGAUCUUCGGACCUUGCGCGAUUGAAUGAGCCGAUGUCGGAUUAGCUAGUUGGCGGGGUAAAGGCCCACCAAGGCGACGAUCCGUAGCUAGUCUGAGAGGAUGAUCAGCCACACUGGAACUGAGACACGGUCCAGACUCCUACGGGAGGCAGCAGUGGGGAAUAUUGGACAAUGGGCGCAAGCCUGAUCCAGCCAUACCGCGUGGGUGAAGAAGGCCUUCGGGUUGUAAAGCCCUUUUGUUGGGAAAGAAAAGCAGAAGGUUAAUACCCCGCUGUUCUGACGGUACCCAAAGAAUAAGCACCGGCUAACUUCGUG
rnacentral:rRNA from 1 species